AGCAACAAAUGCCCUGCUUCCAGGAAAAGCCUCUAAGCAUCAGGUAACAUCAAAUCGUACCCCAAACCGACACAGGUGGUCAGGUAGAGAAUACCAAGGCGCUUGAGAGAACUCGGGUGAAGGAACUAGGCAAAAUGGUGCCGUAACUUCGGGAGAAGGCACGCUGACACGUAGGUGAAGUGAUUUACUCAUGGAGCUGAAGUCAGUCGAAGAUACCAGCUGGCUGCAACUGUUUAUUAAAAACACAGCACUGUGCAAACACGAAAGUGGACGUAUACGGUGUGACGCCUGCCCGGUGCCGGAAGGUUAAUUGAUGGGGUCAGCGCAAGCGAAGCUCCUGAUCGAAGCCCCGGUAAACGGCGGCCGUAACUAUAACGGUCCUAAGGUAGCGAAAUUCCUUGUCGGGUAAGUUCCGACCUGCACGAAUGGCGUAAUGAUGGCCAGGCUGUCUCCACCCGAGACUCAGUGAAAUUGAACUCGCUGUGAAGAUGCAGUGUACCCGCGGCAAGACGGAAAGACCCCGUGAACCUUUACUAUAGCUUGACACUGAACAUUGAGCCUUGAUGUGUAGGAUAGGUGGGAGGCUUUGAAGUGUGGACGCCAGUCUGCAUGGAGCCGACCUUGAAAUACCACCCUUUAAUGUUUGAUGUUCUAACGUGGACCCGUUACCCGGGUUGCGGACAGUGUCUGGUGGGUAGUUUGACUGGGGCGGUCUCCUCCUAAAGAGUAACGGAGGAGCACGAAGGUUGGCUAAUCCUGGUCGGACAUCAGGAGGUUAGUGCAAUGGCAUAAGCCAGCUUGACUGCGAGCGUGACGGCGCGAGCAGGUGCGAAAGCAGGUCAUAGUGAUCCGGUGGUUCUGAAUGGAAGGGCCAUCGCUCAACGGAUAAAAGGUACUCCGGGGAUAACAGGCUGAUACCGCCCAAGAGUUCAUAUCGACGGCGGUGUUUGGCACCUCGAUGUCGGCUCAUCACAUCCUGGGGCUGAAGUAGGUCCCAAGGGUAUGGCUGUUCGCCAUUUAAAGUGGUACGCGAGCUGGGUUUAGAACGUCGUGAGACAGUUCGGUCCCUAUCUGCCGUGGGCGCUGGAGAACUGAGGGGGGCUGCUCCUAGUACGAGAGGACCGGAGUGGACGCAUCACUGGUGUUCGGGUUGUCAUGCCAAUGGCACUGCCCGGUAGCUAAAUGCGGAAGAGAUAAGUGCUGAAAGCAUCUAAGCACGAAACUUGCCCCGAGAUGAGUUCUCCCUGAGACUUUAGGUCUCCUGAAGGAACGUUGAAGACGACGACGUUGAUAGGCCGGGUGUGUAAGCGCAGCGAUGCGUUGA
rnacentral:rRNA from 1 species